rnacentral:tRNA from 1 species
GGUGCCAUGGCUUAGUUGGCUCAAGUACUUGUCUCAUAAACAGAAGUCCUGGGUUCAAAUCCCAGUAGUACUG